rnacentral:rRNA from 1 species
ACGUUAUGGUGGGCACUCUAAGGAGACUGCCGGUGACAAACCGGAGGAAGGUGGGGAUGACGUCAAGUCAUCAUGGCCCUUACGGCCUGGGCUACACACGUGCUACAAUGGUCGGUCAAAGGGUUGCCAAGCCGCGAGGUGGAGCUAAUCCCAUAAAACCGAUCGUAGUCCGGAUCGCAGUCUGCAACUCGACUGCGUGAAGUCGGAAUCGCUAGUAAUCGUGAAUCAGAAUGUCACGGUGAAUACGUUCCCGGGCCUU